CGAGCGCUUCACUUCGGUGAGGAGCGGCGGACGGGUUAGUAACGCGUGGGAACAUACCCUUUUCUAAGGAAUAGCCACUGGAAACGGUGAGUAAUACCUUAUACGCCCCUCGGGGGAAAGAUUUAUCGGUGAAGGAUUGGCCCGCGUUAGAUUAGAUAGUUGGUGGGGUAACGGCCUACCAAGUCGACGAUCUAUAGCUGGUUUGAGAGGAUGAUCAGCAGCACUGGGACUGAGACACGGCCCAG
rnacentral:rRNA from 1 species